UACGAAGGGGGCUAGCGUUGCUCGGAAUCACUGGGCGUAAAGCGCACGUAGGCGGAUUGUUAAGUCAGGGGUGAAAUCCUGGAGCUCAACUCCAGAACUGCCUUUGAUACUGGCGAUCUUGAGUUCGGGAGAGGUGAGUGGAACUGCGAGUGUAGAGGUGAAAAUUCGUAGAUAUUCGCAAGAACACCAGUGGCGAAGGCGGCUCACUGGCCCGAUACUGACGCUGAGGUGCGAAAGCGUGGGGAGCAAACAGG
rnacentral:rRNA from 1 species